AUGAAUGACGCUGGAGAGCUCGGGCAUAGCACCUUUCAAAAGGUGAGAACCGCUUUGCGUAUGUUGGCAUACGAUAUCCCGGCUGAUCUAGUUGAUGAUCAUUUGGCCAUGGGUGAGAGCCAAGCCAUCAUGUGUGUCAAGCGCUUUGCAGUCGGAAUUGUCCAAGUGUUUGGCCAGGAUUAUUUAAAAUCUCCCAAUGCUGAAGACGCCGCAAGGCUAUUGGAAAUGAACAAAACUCGCGGCUUCCCAAAUACGCUUGGCUCAAUAGAUUGCAUGCAUUCGAGUUUGUGUUUGAUCUUUUUCCUUGUGUUUGGGAUGCAUAUGUUGUAUGUGGAUGAGUCACGCGUGCUACAUUUUAGCGCGCUGCUGGAGCUACGCGCGCGCAUUACAUUUUAG
rnacentral:rRNA from 1 species